CUGCGCUCGGAACUCGCCGAGCCUCGCAACCUGCGGUCUGAAAGCUGUCCGUCCAGCGCAUGACCAGUAAAAUCUGAACCGGCCGUUCAGGUUCCCUGCGCCUCCGAAGGGGUGAACGGUGAGGUGCAUCGUGAGGAGUAGGUCUGGAGAGGGAAAGGAUCAGAGCAGAGAGAGCAGCACGCUCACGCCAAGUGAAACACUGACUGACCGCCAGGAAGAAGUGUCCAGACAAGA
rnacentral:lncRNA from 1 species